AAGGAUUCCCUCAGUACGGGCGACGGAAGCGGGAAAAGCCCACUCUGGUAAUCUCCAGGUUUUACCUGGCGAAUUGUAAUCUGAAGAUCGUUAGUCCAAGUUGAUAGUAAGCCUAAAUGUGAGAGAACGCACUGCCAAAGAGGGUGAGAGCCCCGUAAGGUUUUCUGUCUAAACGGUACUGGCAAUCUAAGAGUCGUGUACUUUGAUACUAGUGCACUAAGCGGGAGAUAAACUUCUUCUAAGGCUAAAUAUAAGUAGGAAACCGAUAGCGAACAAGUACUGUGAAGGAAAGAUGAAAAGCACUUUGAAAAGAAAGGUAACAGACUUGAAAUCGUUGAGGCGGACCCGGUAGAAAUGUAUUCUAGCGAAGCGCCCUGGGAAGUCCGUAUUCGGGCCACUCGGGCGUCAGCUGAGACAAGAUGGAGUCGCUCGAUGCCAGAGGCCGUGCAGGAGGGGUUUCGGCCAAUUCUGCGCUGGUCGGGUGUCGAGCGGCUUGAGGGGCCUCGAGCGAUCUUGUCAAAAUGGUUUUUACCGACUCGUCUUGAAACACGAACCAAGGAGUCUAAGACUAACGCGAGUGUGGUGGUGGAGAAACCAACACGCGAAAUGAAAGUAAAUGAUGCCAAGCACCCUGCAGCAUCGACCGACUUUUUUCUUCUGGAGAAGGUUUGAGUAAGAGCGUUAUUCUUAGGACCCGAAAGAUGGUGAAACUAU
rnacentral:rRNA from 1 species